CUUGGCAAGUUUUGCAGCAAGACCCAUCUGACCUUCCACCUUGUAAUGAAACUUUGCAGAGUCCUAGUGCAAAUUUCCGGCAGCUUUAUCACAGACCACCUUUCGUCCCUCCUCCAAACCAUCCCUGCUCAUCUCCCCUUGUGACUGAUCCAGCACAUCUGACCUCACGGAGCAAUGGCCUGGCGAGUCUCUUACCUCUGGGCGCCCGUCUCACUGAAAUCUAUUUGGAAAGACUGCAGUACUAUAGGAACCUAUAUGGGCUAUCACAUUUUUGGCCAUGCUACUGCUCAAGACGAUUUAGUGAUCAAGUUGGUUGCUCAGUUUCCAAUUCUCAACAUCAAGAUCAUCUCAAGAUGAUCUUAUGCAGUGGUCACCCAGUUCAGUCUGAUGUAUCAGGGAUUUGUGGAACCGAAUUUACAAACUACCUGGUAUUGAUCACUAUACUGCUAAUUUCAAGAUGGAGUCAGUUGCUGCUUCUGACUAUCAAUGCUGCAUAGAGAACCUGGAUCAGGGUGUUUAUGUGAUACCAGCUCCUUAAAACCAACCAUGCUCAUUCCUAAGAAUUAAAUGUCUCUGUGGCCAGA